UCUUUUGAGGUGCAUCAAGCC
rnacentral:piRNA from 1 species